CACGUAGGCGGCCUGGUAAGUCAGAUGUGAAGGCCCGGGGCUUAACCCCGGAAGUGCAUUUGAUACUGCCAGGCUUGAGUAUGGGAGAGGGAAGUGGAAUUCCUGGUGUAGAGGUGAAAUUCGUAGAUAUCAGGAGGAACACCGGUGGCGAAGGCGACUUCCUGGACCAAUACUGACGCUGAGGUGCGAAGGCGUGGGUAGCAAACA
rnacentral:rRNA from 1 species